rnacentral:rRNA from 1 species
UACGAAGGGGGCUAGCGUUGCUCGGAAUUACUGGGCGUAAAGCGCACGUAGGCGGUCUUUAAGUCGGGGUGAAAUCCUGGAGCUCAACUCCAGAACUGCCUCGAUACUGGAAGACUCGAGUCCGGGAGAGGUGAGUGGAACUGCGAGUGUAGAGGUGAAAUUCGUAGAGUAUUCGCAAGAACACCAGUGGCGAAGGCGGACCCACGUGGCCCGGUAGUCGGAAC